GCGUUAACGAACGAGACCUUAACCUGCUAAAUAGCCCGCACUGCUCUGGCAGUACGCUGGCUUCUUAGAGGGACUAUCGGCUCAAGCCGAUGGAAGUUUGAGGCAAUAACAGGUUGGUCCCCCGAUAAUACCGCUGUAACCGGUUGUCUUACUGACUCGCCUAGGUCUGUGAUGCCCUUAGAUGUUCUGGGCCGCACGGUAUGUGUUCUAUAUUCCCAGAAACGCGAAACACUGCUGACUUCCUAUAGCGCGCGACACUGACAGAGCCAGCGAGUACUCCCUUGGCCGGAAGGCCCGGGUAAUCUUGUUAAACUCUGUCGUGCUGGGGAUAGAGCAUUGCAAUUAUUGCUCUUCAACGAGGAAUCCCUAGUAAGCGCAAGUCAUCAGCUUGCGUUGAUUACGUCCCUGCCCUUUGUACACACCGCCCGUCGCUAAUACCGAUUGAAUGGGUA
rnacentral:rRNA from 1 species